GAGUUUCAGAACUCUGUAGUCCUUCAGAAAACAAUGGUAAGAACCACCCAAAUCAAUUCUAUAUCACCAUGGCUAAAGAAAAAUUUAAUAUUUUGGGAUAGUGUAGGGAAUGUCCAUAACUGUAUUCACUACAAAGAAAAAAAAAAAAGGUUCAUGCUUGAAAAUAUGCAAACAAGGGAACUACAAGAGAAUGAUAUCCAACCAAAUUGCAG